rnacentral:rRNA from 1 species
AGAGUUUGAUCAUGGCUCAGAACGAACGCUGGCGGCAUGCCUAACACAUGCAAGUCGAACGAAGUCUUCGGACUUAGUGGCGCACGGGUGCGUAACGCGUGGGAAUCUGCCCUUGGGUGCGGAAUAACUUCUCGAAAGGGAUGCUAAUACCGCAUAAUGUCGUAAGACCAAAGAUUUAUCGCCCAAGGAUGAGCCCGCGUAAGAUUAGCUAGUUGGUGGGGUAAAAGCCUACCAAGGCGACGAUCUUUAGCUGGUCUGAGAGGAUGAUCAGCCACACUGGGACUGAGACACGGCCCAGACUCCUACGGGAGGCAGCAGUGGGGAAUAUUGGACAAUGGGCGAAAGCCUGAUCCAGCAAUGCCGCGUGAGUGAUGAAGGCCCUAGGGUUGUAAAGCUCUUUUACCAGGGAUGAUAAUGACAGUACCUGGAGAAUAAGCUCCGGCUAACUCCGUG